GUGAGACAAGAGGCUUCAAAAUGCUCUGGGUAGUGCUGCUGCUUCAGCAUUUCGUCUCAUCAUGCGGUUUGCUGUUGGUGAUAAAUCAUUUCUUGUCAGAAUCGCCAUGGCAUUUGCUAUUAUUGGAGGACCGGGUUUAGAGGUUGGAGAACUUGAUAAUUCAGCUUAUUUCUGUGUGCCAAGUAGGCUCUUGAGGAUCCUGUUUCAUCUGUCCGUGAUGCAUCUGCUCAAGUAUUGGGUUACCUGCUUGCUCUUGGAAUGAAUCCUGAUGCACAGGUUCAACCAAGAGGGAAGGGACCUUUCCCUCCAGCAAACAAACUAAAAGGUGGUUUGCAAAGACAUUUAGUAUUGUCUUUCACAAAAGGUAUUAUGUUCGGUAUUUUUUGGGCAGCAGGUAUGCUAAAAUGUUCGGUUUUGUUUUUCGUUGUCAUGGAGGUGUUCUGCUUUCAAUUAAUUCUUCUGUUGCCCGCAUACACUUCUAUGCUGUCUGUUUCAAAGUGAAAAUUUUAAUGAAACUUGCAGCUUAUGUCUCCUGAUUCCAGUUCUUCCAUGAUAAUUGCUGGUCUAAGUACUGUCUCAUAUACCCUAAAAACUCUUGGAGGGGUUGCCCAAAUCAGUUCUUGAAGUUUCAAAGAAAAUGCUGACUGAAUCUAGUCGGAAUCCUCUGGCCGCUAAAUUGAAAAAAAAGCUGGGUGGUUACUUUUGUCAUCUCCUUAGCAUCUAUGCCGAUGGAGGAGCUUGAAGACCAGAUUUUUGAUAUUAUUUCCUUGUGGGAAUCCCUAUCUACUGGAAACUCACAAAGUGAAACUAACCAAACUGGGGAUUUGAUAUCUAGGAUUCGCAUGUGGUCGGCUGCAAUCGAUGCAGCUACGUCGUUUUUAAGACACUCUCUUUCCCAUGAUGCUAAAAUUAAUCGGAUUUUGCUUCAACCUGUGUUUGUAUUGAGACUUUGUAUACCUAAGUAGGGCUUUAUCCUAUAUAUCACUGAUAGCGGCCAAGGAACUGCCAUACGUCAAGCCUGCUCUGAAUAUAUUUAUUAUCAGGACACUAAUAGCUUAUCAGUCUCUUCCUGGUCCAAUGGCAUAUAAGGAUGAUCACCUCUCCCCCCCCCCAAAAAAAAAAAAAAUUUGCACAAGUCCACUCAGAUAAAAGAGAGGCUUUGGAUGUGAAGAAAGUUCAUGCUUGAGGUUUCUGUUAGACAAGAGAGAUGCAUGGUUUGGUCCUUGGAUUCCUGGAAGGGAUUGGUUUGAAUAUGAACUUCGUGCUUUUCAAUGUGGAAAAGAUGGUCUUUUGCCCUGUGUCUGGGAGAACAAAGUUGUAGCUUUCCUCAGGGCUGCAUCAGAAUGUCUUGGCCUUUUUAGCUCGUCUUGGAAAUGAUAUCUUUACAGCAAGACUGGCUAGAUCACUGCUUGGUGGCUUAACUGGAGCUACAGAUUCAGACUAUGCAGGCUCGAUUGCUUUUUCUCUAGGCUGCAUUCAUUGCAGUGCAAGAGGCAUGGCAUUGUCAACAUUAGUGCCUUCAACUGCGAGCUCAAUUUCUUUGCUUGCUAAAAGUUCAAUAGCUGGUUUACAGAUCUGGUCUUUACAUGGACUUCUGUUAACCACAGAAGCUGCUGGCUUGUCCUAUGUAUCUCAAGUUCAGGCAACACUUGGCCUUGCUUUGGACAUUCUUUUGUCUGAGGAGAAUGGUUGGAUUUAGGGGUUGGCCGUCUGAUAAAUGCUAUUACAGCUGUUCUUGGUCCUGAACCUGCCCCUGGAGUAUUUUCUUUUCACGUUGCAAGGAUUGGUGAUCUGGUGCGGACCGCAAAUAUGGUUUGCUCUAUGCAUCAAGCCCUUCAUAUCCAUCUCAUUGGGUGUCAAUAUGUCACAGUGUGGCAAGUUCUUAUUUUCAGGAAGCAGCAUUUUUGAGAGUAACGGUCUAAAUUGUGGAAUAAAAGAUACAACGGAAACUAUUUGGAUUAUCUGUAUUCUCUUGUAGAUACCAUUUGCUAUAUUGGG